UCCUUUUAAAUUUAGCGUUAUAGCCAAACAUGCAGCUGAGAUGUUAACUGCGAGUAAGAAUGGAAUUUAUGGAUGAACCUCGCAAACAACCGUUGCAGCACUCUAGAGACCAAAUAAGAAAUCGAUGCAGUGGCUAGGACCAGCGAAAGAAAAGAAAAACAACGCCUUUACUUUUUUGCAAUCCAUUACGCGCCAUAUAUUAUUAAUCAAACAAAAAUGAUUGAAUAAAAUUCUAAGAAAACCUUUUAA